UGAGAAUGUGGAAGGAGCCUGCCGGACGCUGGCUGGCUGCCUCCCAGCGUCCACUUCCCCUUUUCUCUUUCC
rnacentral:miRNA from 1 species